rnacentral:rRNA from 1 species
GAUGAACGCUGGCGGCGUGCUUAACACAUGCAAGUCGAACGAGAAGUGGAGACGGAAACCUUCGGGCGGAAGACUUUACUUCGAGUGGCGGACGGGUGAGUAACGCGUGGGUAACCUGCCUCAUACAGGGGGAUAACAGUUGGAAACGACUGUUAAUACCGCAUAAGACCACAGCACCGCAUGGUGCGGGGGUAAAAACUCCGGUGGUAUGAGAUGGACCCGCGUUCGAUUAGCCAGUUGGCGGGGUAACGGCCCACCAAAGCGACGAUCGAUAGCCGAUCUGAGAGGAUGACCGGCCACAUUGGGACUGAGACACGGCCCAAACUCCUACGGGAGACAGCAGUGGGGAAUAUUGCACAAUGGGGGAAACCCUGAUGCAGCGACGCCGCGUGAGUGAAGAAGUAUUUCGGUAUGUAAAGCUCUAUCAGCAGGGAAGAAAAUGACAGUACCUGAGUAAGAAGCCCCGGCUAACUACGUG